UUAAUAUCACGUUAUACCACCGGUAAUCUUACGAUCCCCGAACUUAAGCAACGUCGAGCUAGGUCAGUACCGAGAUGGGUGACCGCUUGGCAAUGCUAUGUGUUGUU